ensembl:lncRNA
AGAUCUGCUGAAACAUAGAGACCUUGUGUCAGUUCCUCCCGCACAGGAAUAAGAUGACACUAUUCGCUCUGCAUGUAAACUGGUAAACUGGAAUUCCAGAUAUGGUUGCACAAAACCACUUUUCCCCCCCAAGUGUUAAACUCUAAAGUACCAAUGAUGCAUCCUACAACUCACUUCAGGGUCCAAAGCAAGUAGAACUAAGAUAUUGUGACUGUAUGGGUGGUACCAUGGUAAGAAAGAGCAACAAGACUACUGUUUACUUAGUCGCUUCCUUUUCUUCCCCAGACUCAGAAUUGCUAAGAGAAAACUAUUUAUUGUUAUGGACAAAACUUGGGCCAUUAUACCACAGUAAAAUCUAAAAUCAAAGAACUUCCUGGGACCAAAUAAUUCCAUUCCAGCUUUUAAAUUUUCUUCCAUUUUUUUUCAAAAAAAAAAAAAAAAUUUUUUUUUAUUUUGUUUUUUCCAUUUAACAGUCGGCAUGCAGUCUUAACAGAGGCCUCCUUUGUGAGAAAAAGGGCCAAGUCUUCCAAAAGCAAAAAAUGAAUUACGAAUUAUAAAUGUCAUCAAAAACUUGAUUAAUGUGAGACCACAGCUAUGGGAUUUGCAAGCAUAAAACACUAUGCUCACACUUUAUUCAUAGAAAUGGAAAGUAGAAAAAAACAAAAUUUUCACUUCAGUCAUUUCUUGAACUGUUCAGCUUAAAAUAAUGAAGGUAACCAGAAAGUGGAUUAAUCUUUUACAAGCUUGUAUUGAUUUUUUAAAUAUAUAUAUAUAUGUGUAUAUAUAUGUAUAUAUAUAUGUGUGUAUAUAUAUGUAUAUAUAUAUAUACACAUAUAUAUAUAUACACACACAUAUAUACAACUGAAAUUAAACUAUCUAGUCCAAGGGAAAAUUUUUUUUAAUACUUGUAUAGCAUUUAAGCAGUCAGUUAAAAAAGCACAGAUGGAGCACUGUGAGGCGUUGCUAAUAUGCGUUUAUGGUGAUGCCUCCACAGACAGAAAACAUCACUAGAUCAGGGACUUGGAUGCACUUUGCUUGUAUUGAGUAUAAAACAGAAGAGAGAAAAUGUAUUUAAAGAAGUAUGAGAGAAGAGAAUGUGAAAGUUUUACAGGUAUUGGGAUGGGAGGAAUGUUUAAUGUUGGUGUUGUGGAGUGACAACAUGGCUUUGCUGGCACUCAGAGUUCCUUAUUAGCCGUUUUCUUAGACUUUAAAAGUUAUAAAGAAUAUACUAAUAUUUCAUACACUAAAUAAGUUUUACUUCCUCAAAAUAGUGACGAUAAGGCUUUACACUAAUUUCAGUGGCCCAGCUUUUAUACAAAACUUUUUAGAACACCAAUUUUCAAAUCUAUGUUUGAAACUUGUAAUUUCAAAUAUGCUUGAUGGUUAUAUUUUCGUUUUAUAAUUAAUUUGAAGAAGAAUACUUAUUCUGAGUACCAUAAUUUAAAGGGGCAAAAUUUUGCCUAUUUAAAGUGCAGAAGUUAAACAUCCAAAAUGGGAGUUUUUCUAACUCAGCAAUUAUGAGAUGUUAAUUUGAACGGAGUAGUGUUAAUGGUUUAAGUCUAGCAAGGGAAAACAGUCUGCUAAAUAAAAUAAAAGUUUCUAAUAUUUAUGUUUUAAAU